UACGAAGGGGGCUAGCGUUGUUCGGAAUUACUGGGCGUAAAGCGCACGUAGGCGGAUAUUUAAGUCAGGGGUGAAAUCCCGGGGCUCAACCCCGGAACUGCCUUUGAUACUGGGUAUCUCGAGUCCGAGAGAGGUGAGUGGAAUUCCGAGUGUAGAGGUGAAAUUCGUAGAUAUUCGGAGGAACACCAGGUGGCGAAGGGCGGCUCACUGGCUCGGUACUGACGCUGAGGUGCGAAAGCGUGGGGAGCAAACAGGG
rnacentral:rRNA from 1 species